rnacentral:tRNA from 1 species
GGACAGGUAGCUCAGCCUGGCUAGAGCAUUGGUCUUAUAAGCCAAAGGUCGCGGGUCCGAAUCCCGCCCCGUCCA